rnacentral:rRNA from 1 species
GAUUCUAGUGGCGAACGGGUGCGUAACACGUGAGAAUCUGCCUUUAGGAAAAGGAUAACUACUAGAAAUAGUAGCUAAUACUUUAUAUGCCUUAGGGUGAAAGAAGCAAUUCGCCUAAAGAGGAGCUCGCGUCUGAUUAGCUAGUUGGUAGGGUAAGAGCCUACCAAGGCGACGAUCAGUAGCUGGUUUGAGAGGAUGAUCAGCCACAUUGGAACUGAGACACGGUCCAGACUCCUACGGGAGGCAGCAGUAAGGAAUAUUCUACAAUGGGCGAAAGCCUGAUAGAGCAAUACCGCGUGAGGGACGAAUGCCUACGGGUUGUAAACCUCUUUUCUCAAGGAGGAAGAACUGACGUUACUUGAGGAAUAAGCAUCGGCUAACCCUGUGCCAGCAGCCGCGGUAAUACAGGGGAUGCAAGUUUUAUUCGGAAUUAUUGGGCGUAAAGCGUCUGCAGGUUGACAUAAAAGUCUUUUGUUAAAUAUCAGAGCUCAACUCGGAAUCUGCAAAAGAUACUAUAUGUCUUGAGUAUGGUAGAGGUAAGGGGAAUUUCCAGUGGAGCGGUGAAAUGCGUAGAUAUUGGAAAGAACACCGAUAGCGAAGGCACCUUACUGGGCCAUUACUGACACUCAGAGACGAAAGCUAGGGGAGCAAACGGGAUUAGAUACCCCGGUAGUCCUAGCCGUAAACGAUGGAUACUAGAUGUUGUAUACUUUA